AACAAACGCUGGCGGCGUGCCUAAUACAUGCAAGUCGAACGGGGAAAGCUUUAGGGUGAGUACUAGUGGCGCACGGGUGAGUAACGCGUGGAUAAUCUGCCUUAGAGUGGGGGAUAACCAGUCGAAAGAUUGGCUAAUACCGCAUAAGACCACAAGAACUGCGGUUCAAGGGGUCAAAGGUUUUUCGCUCUAAGAUGAGUCCGCGUAAGAUUAGCUAGUUGGUGAGGUAAUGGCUCACCAAGGCGACGAUCUUUAACUGGUCUGAGAGGAUGAUCAGUCACACUGGAACUGAGACACGGUCCAGACUCCUACGGGAGGCAGCAGUAGGGAAUAUUGCACAAUGGAGGAAACUCUGAUGCAGCGACGCCGCGUGAGUGAUGAAGGCCUUCGGGUCGUAAAGCUCUGUCGCAGGGGAAUAACACAAUGAAGGUACCCUGUAAGAAAGGAUCGGCUAACUUCGUGCCAGCCGCCGCCGUAAUAC
rnacentral:rRNA from 1 species